GAUGAACGCUGGCGGCGUGCCUAAUACAUGCAAGUCGAGCGAACGGACGAGAAGCUUGCUUCUCUGAUGUUAGCGGCGGACGGGUGAGUAACACGUGGAUAACCUACCUAUAAGACUGGGAUAACUUCGGGAAACCGGAGCUAAUACCGGAUAAUAUUUUGAACCGCAUGGUUCAAAAGUGAAAGACGGUCUUGCUGUCACUUAUAGAUGGAUCCGCGCUGCAUUAGCUAGUUGGUAAGGUAACGGCUUACCAAGGCAACGAUGCAUAGCCGACCUGAGAGGGUGAUCGGCCACACGGGAACGGAGACACGGUCCAGACUCCUACGGGAGGCAGCAGAAGGGAAUCUUCCGCAAUGGGCGAAAGCCUGACGGAGCAACGCCGCGUGAGUGAUGAAGGUCUUCGGAUCGUAAAACUCUGUUAUGAGGGAAGAACAUAUGUGUAAGUAACUGUGCACAUCUUGACGGUACCUAAUCAGAAAGCCACGGCUAACUAUGUG
rnacentral:rRNA from 1 species